AAUCCAUAGGUUAAUGAGGCGAACCGGGGGAACUGAAACAUCUAAGUACCCCGAGGAAAAGAAAUCAACCGAGAUUCCCCCAGUAGCGGCGAGCGAACGGGGAGGAGCCCAGAGCCUGAAUCAGCAUGUGUGUUAGUGGAAGCGUCUGGAAAGGCGCGCGAUACAGGGUGACAGCCCCGUACACAAAAGCGCAUGUGCUGUGAGCUCGAUGAGUAGGGCGGGACACGUGGUAUCCUGUCUGAAUAUGGGGGGACCAUCCUCCAAGGCUAAAUACUCCUGACUGACCGAUAGUGAACCAGUACCGUGAGGGAAAGGCGAAAAGAACCCCGGCGAGGGGAGUGAAAAAGAACCUGAAACCGUGUACGUACAAGCAGUGGGAGCACAGGUUUACCUGUGUGACUGCGUACCUUUUGUAUAAUGGGUCAGCGACUUAUAUUCUGUAGCAAGGUUAACCGCAUAGGGGAGCCGGAGGGAAACCGAGUCUUAAUUGGGCGUUAAGUUGCAGGGUAUAGACCCGAAACCCGGUGAUCUAGCCAUGGGCAGGUUGAAGGUUGGGUAACACUAACUGGAGGACCGAACCGACUAAUGUUGAAAAAUUAGCGGAUGACCUGUGGCUGGGGGUGAAAGGCCAAUCAAACCGGGAGAUAGCUGGUUCUCCCCGAAAGCUAUUUAGGUAGCGCCUCGUGAA
rnacentral:rRNA from 1 species